rnacentral:Y_RNA from 1 species
GGCUGGUUCGAUGGUAGUGGGUUAUUAGAAAUUAUUAACAUUAGUGUCACUAAAGUAGGUAUUCAACCAUCCACUGCUAAAUUGGACUGGCUUACA